GAAAAGAUACACACAACAACACACAAAAGGAGGUAAUUAUAUCAUGUUCUACUAAAAAAGAAUCAAUGUUUUCAUCGAACACAUAACAUGCAACAUGAAACAACUGCAACCUUGCGUUUGCAACACUGAAAAUUACACCAUACAAAAAGGCCAAUUCAUCAUGUCUAGAUAUCCAUCGUCUCACAAUUUGCAAUCAAACACAACUACAUAAAAAUUUAAGACAAUAAAAUACCCCAAAAUUAAAAAACAAGUCGUUUCAUUCUUCUAGAGGUUGAACACAUCUGAACAUAUAAACUACUCUAAAACCAGACGAACAAAAGACAAAAGACAAACAUAUCUAACUAAUCUACUUUGCUUUCUUGGGAGAUUUAGUAGCUUUUGAUGG
rnacentral:lncRNA from 1 species